rnacentral:sRNA from 1 species
CUCGCUUCUCGGCCUUUAGGCUAAGAUCAAAGUUUAGUUUCUGUUCUUAUCGAAUUAACCUUCGAUAGAGUUUCGAACCCUAUUAACUUGUUUUAAAUUUCUUUAUAGUUCCCAUUCCUUCAGCGCUUUAGGCAAACUUGGGUCGUUUUUUUUGAAUUAUGGAGGAGGGAAGCCUUGAUUCGAU